GGGAACCGCCUGAACUGAAACAUCUAAGUAGGGCGAGGAAGAGACAUCAAACGAGAUUCCGUAAGUAGUGGCGAGCGAACGCGGAAGAGGGCAAACCGAGAGUAGAAAUACUUUCGGGGUACGGACUGCUUUUAAGACUUAAUCUGUUAACCGAACGGCAUGGGAAGGCCGGUCAGAGAGUGUGAGAACCACGUAGGUGAAAACGGAGAGAGCUGCGCAGGAUCCAGAGUACGGCCAGACACGUGAAACCUGGUCGGAAUACGGGGGGACCACCCUCCAACCCUAAAUACUACCCAGUGACCGAUAGCGUAUAGUACUGUGAAGGAAAGGUGAAAAGCACCCCGGGAGGGGAGUGAAAAAGAACCUGAAACCCUGUGCCUACAAGCACCUAGAGCGCGUCAAAGCGUGAUAGGGUACUUUUUGUAGAACGGUCCGGCGAGCGAUUGUAUGCAGCAAGGUUAAGGACUUAAGGUCUGGAGCCGAAGCGAAAGCGAGUUUGAAAAGGGCGUUAAGUUGCAUAUAAUGGGCCCGAAACCGGGUGACCUACCCAUGGUCAGGUUGAAGUGGAAGUAAAAUUCCAUGGAGGACCGAACCGACCUCCGUUGAAAAGGCGGCGGAUGAACUGUGGGUAGCGGAGAAAUUCCAAUCGAACCCGGAGAUAGCUGGUUCUCCCCGAAAUAGUUUUAGGACUAGCCUCAAGUUAGAUACCUGGAGGUAAAGCACUGAAUAGCCUAGCGGCCGAGAGGUUAGCGAAGCUUAUCAAACUCAGAAUGCCAGAGUAUUGAUGCUUGGGAGUCAGACAGUGUCAGAUAAAUGUCAUUGUCAAAAGGGAAACAGCCCAGAUCUACAGCUAAGGUCCCAAAGUCAGGUUAAGUGGAAAACGAUGUGAAGAUACGCAGACAACCAGGAUGUUGGCUCAGAAGCAGCCACUCAUUCAAAGAGUGCGUAAUAGCUCACUGGUCGAGCGUCUUUGCGCGGAGAAUUUAACGGGGCUAAACCUGACACCGAAGCUUAGGCAAUACAGCAAUGUAUUGGGUAGGGGAGCGUUGUAUACGCGGUGAAACAGUAGCGCAAGCGGCUGUGGAGUGUAUAGAAGUGAGAAUGCCGGAAUGAGUAGCGCGAAUGCAGUGAGAAUCUGCAUGGCCGAAAGCCUCAGGUUUCUGGAGGAAGGUUCGUCCGCUCCAGGUUAGUCGGGAGCUAAGGUGAGGCCUAACGGCGUAGCCGAUGCACAGACGGUAGAGAUUCCGUCACCACCAAAAGAGUUAAGCACAGGGACACAUAUGAAGUCUCAGAGCCGGGUGUUGGUUCCGGUAGAGAUCGAGGGAAGUUAGUACCGAAGUCUGAGAUGGAAGAUGGCGAGAAAAGCUGUGUGUAUUUCUGAGGUGCCCGUACCGCAAACCGACACAGGUAGGUAGGAAGAAGAUUCUAAGGCCAACGGGAGAAGGGUUGUUAAGGAACUCGGCAAAUUGACCCCGUAACUUCGGGAGAAGGGGUGCUCCAGAGAUGGAGCCGCAGAGAAUCGGCCCAAGCAACUGUUUACCAAAAACACAGGUUUGUGCUAAAUCGAAAGAUGACGUAUACGAGCUGACGCCUGCCCGGUGCUGGAAGGUUAAGAGGAGAUGUGCAAGCAUUGAAUCGAAGCCCCAGUGAACGGCGGCCGUAACUAUAACGGUCCUAAGGUAGCGAAAUUCCUUGUCAGGUAAGUUCUGACCCGCAUGAAAGGCGUAAUGAUUUGGGCACUGUCUCAACAGCCCGCCCGGCGAAAUUGUAGUACCGGUGAAGAUGCCGGUUACCCGCGACAAGACGGAAAGACCCCAUGGAGCUUUACUGUAGCCUAAUAUUGGGUUUCGAUGUUGCAUGCACAGGAUAGAUGGGACACAGGGAAACAAGUGCUUUGGCAUUUGUGGAGUGGCCGUUGGGAUACCAUCCUUGCGAUAUUGGAAUUCUAACCUGCGCCUUUGAAUCAAGGCGGGGGACAUUGUUAGGUGGGCAGUUUGACUGGGGCGGUCGCCUCCUAAAGAGUAACGGAGGCGUUCAAAGGUUCGCUCAGCUUGAACGGAAAUCAAGCAAAAGAGUGCAAACGCAGAAGCGAGCCUAACUGCGAGACUGACGGGUCGAGCAGUAACGAAAGUUGGAGUUAGUGAUCCGGUGGUAUGUGAGUGGAAAUGCCAUCGCUCAACGGAUAAAAGUUACCCUGGGGAUAACAGGCUGAUCUCCCCCAAGAGUCCACAUCGACGGGGAGGUUUGGCACCUCGAUGUCGGCUCAUCGCAUCCUGGGGCUGUAUUCGGUCCCAAGGGUUUGGCUGUUCGCCAAUUAAAGCGGUACGCGAGCUGGGUUCAGAACGUCGUGAGACAGUUCGGUCCCUAU
rnacentral:rRNA from 1 species